rnacentral:ncRNA from 1 species
UGCAGGCCCGAUCCCGGGUGCUGGCGGACGAGGGAGCAGUACCCGCAGCUGACAAGACUGACUCAUC